CCCUCUUAUUCAUAUUCAUAGCUGUCAUUGCUCUGAUGAAGCCGGUCUCUAAAGCACGUUCUAAUACUAAAACAAAAAGUUAGCUUUCAGUUUGUUGCUGUGUUAUUUCAUGAUUGACGGUUAUUUUCCAAGGAAAAUAUUAUAAAUUACAGAACAAAAGUAAUUACUCAGCCUAAAGAACUAGAAAUGCAACGUAGAAGAGGGAAAAAAGUAAAGAUGGACAAUCCUCUCGAGGAUUCUGAACCACCAUCCACUUCUUAUUUGGAUGAGCAGCAAACUCCAAUGGAUCAGCAAAGUGAGAAUUGUGAAAAUGUACACCUACAUUCUGAUUUCGAUACUCCUUCCAAAAUGGAACAUGAUAAAAAUAGUGUUCCUGUGCAGCAGAAUUUGAAUGUUCUCAGUUCAAAUCAGGCGGAAAAUACCACAGUCCCAACUCUUUCUGUUGGGCAUGGACAGACACCUGAAAGUGCUCGUGGCCAAACUUCAGUUACUCCUACUGGGAAGAAGGCCCCUGCAGUUACUGCAAAUUCUCAGAAAUUAGUAUCUAGCCCAGAAGGUACUCCCACAUCCACACGUCCUUCUCUUCGACGUAGAGGACGGUCAAAGAAACAUUCAGAGACGGAACAUGUUGCUAAUGUUGAAGAUGAAAGUGAUUUAUUUAGUAUUAUCAGGAAUGGCAAAAGCUCCUUACAGCACAUUGUAGAUGAAUGGAUUGAGCAGUACAAGGCUGACCGUGACUCAGGGUUAAACGCUAUAAUGCAGUUCUUCAUUAGUGCUUCAGGAUGCAACGGGAAAAUACCAUCUAAAAUACCAAGUAGCAUGGAUCAUGCCGCAGUUAUCCGCGAUAUGACAAAAAAGUUUGAUGAGGAUAGUGGAGAAUAUCCGUUGGUCAUGUCUGGACCACAAUGGAGAAAAUUUCGAAGCAACUUCUGCGACUUCGUGCACACACUCGUGAAGCAGUGCCAAUAUUCCAUAAUUUAUGAACAAUACCUGAUGGAUAACGUAAUAUCACUUCUUACUGGUCUUUCUGAUUCACAAGUCCGAGCGUUUCGUCAUACUGCCACCUUAGCUGUUAUGAAAUUAAUGACUGCCUUGGUUGAUGUGGCUCUGACUGUGUCGGUUCAUCUUGACAACACGUCUCGUCAGUAUGAAGUUGAGCGUCGGAAAACACAGGAUAAACGAGCCAGUGAUCGCCUUGAAGGAUUGCUUGCCAAACACGAAGAACUUGAAGAAAACAUGCAUGACAUUAAAAACAUGUUGACUUACUUAUUCAAGUCGGUGUUUGUCCAUCGUUACCGAGAUAUCGUUCCCGAUAUUCGAGCCAUUUGUAUGACGGAAAUAGGCAUUUGGAUGAAACGGUUUCCCCAAAAUUUUCUUGAUGAUUCUAACCUGAAGUAUAUUGGGUGGAAUUUGCACGACAAAGUUGCCGAUGUUCGUUUAAAAUGUCUUCAAGCUCUCCAACCGCUGUAUGCUUCACAAGAGCUUAAAGAAAAACUGGAACUUUUUACCAGCAAAUUUAAGGAUCGUGUCGUUUCGAUGACGCUAGACAAAGACUAUGAUGUUUCAGUCCAAGCUGUUCGUUUGGUUAUCACUAUGCAAAAGUAUCACCAAGAAAUGUUAUCAGACAAGGAUUGUGAGUCAGUUUACGAGUUGGUGUUCUCUUCUCAUCGAGCCCUUGCACAAGCUGCCGGCGAAUUCCUUAAAGAGAGACUAUUCACACUUAAUGCUACCAGUCAUCCAGCUCCACGUACUCUCCUUGGCAAAAAGAGACUACCUAACACACCUCUCAUUCGUGAUUUGGUUCAAUUUUUCAUUGAAUCUGAGUUGCAUGAACACGGAGCAUAUUUGAUCGACUCCUUAAUCGACUCAAAUGAAAUGAUGAAAGACUGGGAGUGCAUGACGGAUUUGUUAAUUGAAGAACCUGGGCCAGACGAAGAGCCUUUGGACGAUCAGCAGGAAACAGCUUUGAUCGAGUUGAUGACAUGCUGCAUUAAACAAGUUGCGACUGGAGAACCACCUGCAGGUCGAGGGUCUAUGAGAAAGAUUCCUACCGUCAAAGAAACCAGACAAACCCAAGGUCACCGUGUACGACUUACUGAACAUUUCAUACCAACUCUUCCUCUGUUACUCGGGAAAUAUAUGACUGAUCCCGAACAAGUUGCAAACCUCUUGUCAAUCCCUCAAUACCUUAAUAUGGAAAUCUAUACUACCUCACGUCAAGAGAAGAGUCUAGAUUCGUUAUUGCGCUUGAUCCAGAAUAUAGUAGAAAGACACACCACAACAGAAGUGCUGGAAGGCUGCGCUAAAGCGUUGGAAUUUCUUUGUGAUGAAGAUUACGCCAUAUCUUCUCGAUGUGAUUUAACAAGGAACACUUUAAUUGAUCAUCUCGUUAAGAAAUGCGAACAAGAUUAUGAAAAUUAUGUAACACUGAUGGCUGGCGACGAAGAGCCCAACAAAGAUGCGGUGUUUACGCUGGUAUUGGGUUUGAAAAAAAUUGCCUUAUUCUCGUCACAUCACAAUCUUGGGACAUGGAAUUUGUGGGAUUCUCUGUUUAACGCAAUUCAAGAAACUAUAAACCUUAAUCGGAAAAUGCCACUUGAAGCUAUAAAAUAUUGCAUUUCAGCUUGCCAUUCUGCUGUUUUAUGGGAGCUUCUGCAAUUCAAAAAUUGUUCUGGACAAAGAACGUCUGCCGCUCAACAACAGAAACAAUUAAGAGAUCAUUUGGACGCCUACAUGUCUUUGAUGACUGAGCUAAUCACUUCGAACGUUGCUGAUUUUAGAGAAGAGGCAUACGUGUCUGUAGGGGAUUUGCUUAUAUGUUUUAGCAAGCGUCUAAAAGACAAUCCUCAGUUAAAACCGCUUGUUUACGAGCCUGAUCGUAACCUACAACAAAUUCUGGAAAACUUCAUUCAGACUUAUGUGUUUGUUGAAGAAGAAGAAGAAGAUGUAGACGAGGAAGGCGACGAACAUAAAAAAAUUGAAAAAUUGCACAAUCGCCGGAACUAUUUAUCGGUUUUCUGCAAACUCGUAGCUUGCAACGUCUUGCCUGUAAAAGCUGCGGCAGGUGUUAUUAGACACUAUGUCAAGUAUUACGAUGAUUACGGUGACAUCAUUAAGACAUUAUUGGGAAAAACUCGAAACAUCAACAGAAUUACCAGUGCAAAAACUAUGGUUCUUAGUCUCUCAUUGCUGUUUCACGAUCUAACAAGGGAUGGUGGAAGUCGUAUUGAUCGGCAGUCAGAAGAAUUUCUUAGUGUCAAGGAAUUGGCCAAAAAAUUGGCCAUGUCAUUUGGACUCGAUAUGGUGAAAAAUCGCGAAGCUAUCACCGCCCUUCAUAGAGAUGGAAUUAUUUUUGCCACAAAUCCACUCGAGAAUCCAAAUAAUCCUAUUGGCCCUCCUCCUAAUUUAGGGUUUCUUGAAAUUUGUGGCGAGUUUUCAAACAAACUGCUAAAACAAGACAAAAAGGUGGUUUUACAGUUUUUGGACCGAAUGCUGACCAUGGGAAGGCUUUCACCUCGUCGAGAAUGGGAACCUCUCUUGUUCUACCGGAAUUCCUUGGUUCAUGGCGAAACUGAUCCAUCUCCGCAUUCUGUCAGGAGCGCUAACAGACGACGUCGUCGCGAUACAGGUGGAGACGACGGUGAAAUCGCUGAUAACGAUGAUGGAUCAGAUCAGGAUUUUGCCGAGUGCGGGUAAUAUUACCCGGUUUGACUUCAGCAUUUGAGUCUUGUGAAUGAAUGAAGUGAAUUCAAAGUAACAUAACAUGAAAUGUUAGUUUUUAUUAACGUUUGGUGAGGUGCUUUGUUAUUUAUCCUUUUGGCUACUGAACUGCGACACGUAAAUUUCCAUUUUAACCAUGGAUCCUGCUGUUAGAUGACGUACGAUCGCACUUGUUGGAUUCUCUAGGAUAAAUAAACACAGUUAACAGUU
rnacentral:misc_RNA from 1 species